AUUGAACGCUGGCGGCAUGCUUUACACAUGCAAGUCGAACGGCAGCGCGGGCUUCGGCCUGGCUUCGAGUGGCGAACUGGUGAGUAAUACAUCGGAACGUGCCCAUUAGCGGGUGAUAGCUCGGCGACAUCCGGAUUAAUACCCCAAACGACCUGAGGGCGAACGCGGGGGAUCUUCGGACCUUGCGCUCUUGGACCGUCCGAUGGCGGAUUAGCUAGUUGGUGGGGUAAAGGCCUACCAAGGCGACGAUCCGUAGCUGGUCUGAGAGGACGACCAGCCACACUGGAACUGAGACACGGCCCAGACUCCUACGGGAGGCAGCAGUGGGGAAUUUUGGACAAUGGGCGCAAGCCUGAUCCAGCCAUGCCGCGUGUGUGAUGAAGGCCUUCGGGUUGUAAAGCACUUUUGGCGGGAACGAAAAGCAGUGGGCCAAUACCACGGUUCGAUGACGGUACCCGCAGAAUAAGCACCGGCUAACUACGUG
rnacentral:rRNA from 1 species